rnacentral:rRNA from 1 species
CAUAGUGGCGCACGGGUGCGUAACACGUAUGCAACCUACCUUAUACUUAGGGAUAGCCUUUGGAAACGGAGAUUAAUACCUGAUGGUACAGUUGACUUGGCAUCGAGUUACUGUUAAAGAUUUAUUGGUAUAAGAUGGGCAUGCGUCCAAUUGGUUAGUUGGUGAGGUAAUGGCUCACCAAGACGAUGAUUGGUAGGGGAACUGAGAGGUUAAUCCCCCACACUGGCACUGAGAUACGGGCCAGACUCCUACGGGAGGCAGCAGUAGGGAAUAUUGGGCAAUGGAGGCAACUCUGACCCAGCCAUGCCGCGUGCAGGAUGAAGGCGUUAUGCGUUGUAAACUGCUUUUAUAUAGGAAGAAAUAGACCUUGCGAGGUAAGUUGACGGUACUAUAUGAAUAAGCACCGGCUAACUCCGUGCCAGCAGCCGCGGUAAUACGGAGGGUGCAAGCGUUGUCCGGAUUUAUUGGGUUUAAAGGGUGCGUAGGCGGUUUAUUAAGUCAGUGGUGAAAGACGGUCGCUCAACGAUUGCAGUGCCAUUGAUACUGGUAGACUUGAGUGGGAUUGAGGUAGCUGGAAUGGAUAGUGUAGCGGUGAAAUGCAUAGAUAUUAUCCAGAACACCAAUUGCGUAGGCAAGUUACUAAGUCUCAACUGACGCUGAGGCACGAAAGUGUGGGUAUCAAACAGGAUUAGAUACCCUGGUAGUCCACACUGUNAACGAUGAUAACUAACUGUUGGCUUUCGGGUCAG